CCUACGGGGGGCAGCAGUGAGGAAUAUUGGUCAAUGGACGAGAGUCUGAACCAGCCAAGUAGCGUGAAGGAUUACUGCCCUAUGGGUUGUAAACUUCUUUUAUAUGGGAAUAAAACGCUCCACGUGUGGGAUUUUGUAUGUACCCUAUGAAUAAGGAUCGGCUAACGCCGUGCCAGCCGCCGCGGUAAUACGGAGGAUCCGAGCGUUAUCCGGAUUUUUUGGGUUUAAAGGGAGCGUAGGUGGAUUGUUAAGUCAGUUGUGAAAGUUUGCGGCUCAACCGUAAAAUUGCAGUUGAAACUGGCAGUCUUGAGUGCGGUAGAGGUGGGCGGAAUGCGUGGUGUAGCGGUGAAAUGCUUAGAUAUCACGAAGAACUCCGAUUGCGAAGGCAGUUCACUGGACUGCAACUGACGCUGAGGCUCGAAAGUGUGGGUAUCGAACAGGAUUAGAUACCCUUGUAGUC
rnacentral:rRNA from 1 species